UCGAGUUUACAACUCCCAAACCCCAUGUGAACCUUACCAUCACGUUGCUUCGGCGGUCACGCCCCGGCGCCCCCGUGCCCGGAACCAGGCGCCCGCCGGAGGACCCCAAACCAUUGUUGUAUCUAGUGGCAUUGUCUGAGUGGCGUAAAGCAAAUCAAUCA
rnacentral:misc_RNA from 1 species